rnacentral:misc_RNA from 1 species
ACUUUCUUGUUAGACACAACCCAACACGCUGGUGUAACACCAAUGCGAGUUGAGCAGUCAUUUUAGGGACAGUAAAACACUUAAAAUGGGGGGACAUAAAAAGGAUCCAAUACGACCCAUGCCCACAUCAUGUUCUAUAUUAAAGAGACCAAGCAGUGUUCAAUAGACCACUACACCAACAUACCAGUUAACGAUGUGGUUCAAAGAGACAGCAUUAAGGUUUCAUCUAAUGUCAUGAGCAUGACACAAGACGAAAGGAACUGAUACAAACCAAAUAGAUGCCUUAUUGGAGAGGCAGGAAAAACACAAGAAACCCACAAUUUGGUAAGGGCAUAGAAGCCUUAACAUAUAAAAGCAAGGUUUGACAGGUGGCAGUUGUUGCACAAGCAAAGAGCCAACCACCAAAAACAAACC